AUUGAACGCUGGCGGCAGGCCUAACACAUGCAAGUCGAGCGAGCGGCGGACGGGUGAGUAAUGUAUGGGGACUGCCCGAUAGAGGGGGAUAACUACUGGAAACGGUAGCUAAUACCGCAUACUAUCGGAAAACCCAUAUGGGAUUAGAUAGUAGGUGCGGUAAUGGCUAACCUAGGCGACGAUCCCUAGCUGGGCUGAGAGGAUGAACAGCCACCCUGGGACUGAGACACGGCCCAGACUCCUACGGAGGGAGCAGUGGGGAAUAUUGCACUAUGGGCGCAAGCCUGAGGCAGCCAUGCCGAGUGUAUGAAGAAGGCCCUAGGGUUGUAAAGUACUUUCAGUCGGGAGGCGUUACCGACAGAAGAAGCACCGGCUAACUCCGUGCCAGCCGCCGCGGUAAUAC
rnacentral:rRNA from 1 species